GGGGGGGGACACAUUUUACCACUUUGGAAGUGUCUCUCGCGCAAACUAUUCAGUUUAGAAAAAAAUGAUAUUAGAAACCUCAAUAUCAUUUUUGAAGACCUAUCCAUAGAUACCCCACACGUAUGGGUUUGAUGAAAAAAAAUUUUUUUAGGGAUUUAUGACGUAUUAAAAAAAACUACUUACUAGAUCUCGUUUAAACCAAUUUUCGGUGGAAGUUUGCAUGGUAAUGUAUAUCAUAUAUUUUUUUUAGUUUUAUCAUUCUCUUAUUUUAGAAGUUACAGGGGGGGGGGACACAUUUUACCACUUUGGAAGUGUCUCUCGCGCAAACCAUUCAGUUUAGAAAAAAAUGAUAUUAGAAACCU